rnacentral:tRNA from 1 species
AGCAGCGUGGCUCAGUGGAAAGAGCUCAGGCUUGGGAGUCAGAGGUCAUGGGUUUGAAUCCCAUCUUUGCCA